GGGGCUGUAGCUCAGUGGUUAGAGCGACUCGCUCAUAACGAGUGGGCCGUAGGUUCAAAUCCUACCAGCCCCAC
rnacentral:tRNA from 1 species